rnacentral:rRNA from 1 species
GACGAACGCUGGCGGCGUGCUUAACACAUGCAAGUCGAGCGGUAAGGCCCUUUCGGGGGUACACGAGCGGCGAACGGGCGAGUAACACGUGGGUGACCUGCCCUCAGCUCUGGGAUAAGCCUGGGAAACCGGGUCUAAUACCGGAUAUGACUCCAUGACGCAUGUUGUGGGGUGGAAAGCCUUGUGCGGCUGAGGAUGGGCCCGCGGCCUAUCAGCUUGUUGGUGGGGUGAUGGCCUACCAAGGCGACGACGGGUAGCCGGCCUGAGGGGGCGACCGGCCACACUGGGACUGAGACACGGCCCAGACUCCUACGGGAGGCAGCAGUGGGGAAUCUUGCGCAAUGGGCGAAAGCCUGACGCAGCGACGCCGCGUGAGGGAUGACGGCCUCGGU